GACAGAGGGGGCAAGCGUUGCUCGGAAUUACUGGGCGUAAAGGGCGCGUAGGCGGGAUGGCAAGUCGGUCGUGAAAUCCCUCGGCUCAACCGAGGAACGUCGAUCGAUACUGCUGUUCUUGAGGAUUGCAGAGGAGACUGGAAUUCCCGGUGUAGCGGUGAAAUGUGUAGAGAUCGGGAGGAACACCAGUGGCGAAGGCGGCUCACUGGACCGGAACUGACGCUGAGGCGCGAAAGCGUGGGGAGCAAACAGG
rnacentral:rRNA from 1 species